AGAGUUUGAUCAUGGCUCAGAACGAACGCUGGCGGCGUGCUUAACACAUGCAAGUCGCGUGCGCAGUUUGUAGCAAUACAGACGGGCGCACGGCGCACGGGUGCGUAACACGUGGGCAAUCUGCCCUCCGAUGGGGAAUAACCCCGCGAAAGCGGGGCUAAUACCGCAUAAUAUUCCUUGGACUAUGGUUUGAGGAUUCA
rnacentral:rRNA from 1 species